GCUCCAGUAGCGUAGUGGUUAGAGGUUCCGCCUCGGAUGCGGGAGGUCGUGGGUUCGAACCCCAGGUGAGCCA